CGGAGGAUUGAGAAAGUUUGGCAGCCCGAUCAGUGUUGUCACAACUGGUUAUCCCCUCCCAGAGGAAUCUGGCAAAUGACUCCUUUUAACAGUCUACUGUACUACUGUAGGUUGUAUGCGGUGAUUUGCCAACACGUG